CAAGCGUGUGCUUGUGUGGCAUCUUAUUUGUCGGGGCUCUAUGCUGAUUAAGAUCUUAAUAUGCGUUGUACUUUGGACUUGAUUAAGAGUAAACCAGCACCGAAACCACACCGUGGCUGGGUCUCGCUAUCGGGGGGCUCACCCUCGGGGGGGGGCAGCUGGUACACCACGCAGAGAGAGGAGUACACGCAGCCCACGAAAGACAUCAGGCUUGAAAAGUACAUCACUCCCUGGGCCCCACCCACCAGUGAGGUCAGAGGUCCCAUCGCCACUGAGACCAGGAUUUGUGCCAGGAAAUACUGGCAGCUGAGCAGAGAGAUGUCCACCCCCAUCCCUCGUCUGGUCCCCUCCUCUGACGUGCCACAAAACUGAGGAACACAUGCAAACAGUUUAAGGUCAUCCCCCUUGCUCUCUCCUCCGUCCCUUCUCCUUCCCCCACUCAUCUCCUCCUUCGCCUCUUCAUCCCGGUGCCUCCCGUGACGUCACGUCCCUCCCUCAGCGCCGCGGAGAGCCAGCGAUGAAAAAAACAACUGUCUGUCCAUCGAUUCAUCUACUUGUACAUACGGUUCUCCAGAAGUGGCAUUGUAAUAUUUGGUAAAUUAUGAUUACUGGCUGAAUAUUUAUUGUGUUUCCAGGGGCACAGAUAAAUACAUAUAUAUGUAUGCAGACAUGCAUCUAUAUUUAACUUAUAUUUAAACCUAAAACACAUUGCUUCACUUAUUGGGGGAGAAUGCCUCCAGAACAAUAAGGAGAUCAUACAUGAAAUUAGCGGGUUUUCAUCGGUUUUCCCCUUCAAAACUUCAGUGUUUCAGUCGUAAAUUCAUGUUGUUGGUCUAAACAUUGUUCAAACCCUAUACAUUUAUUUUAAAUUAUAGUCAAUCUUUAAGGUUUAACAAAUACAAAUAUUCCAGGCAGUAUAAAUGUGUGUAAUGUUAGAGACAAAGCAAGCUGGGGGUUGAGUUUGAAUGUUUCACUAUCUGAACAUCAUGGCGCGAAGGGAGAAGCAAAUGUAUGUAAAGCAUGUAUACGGAAUAUAAAAUAAAAAAUUGCACUUGUUUUA